UGCAUAAUGUCUUGCUCAAUUCUAAGAACUUCAUCUUUCAGUUGUUUUUGGGAAGAUUCCCUUGCCUCUAGAUCCUUUUGUAAAUUGUCUAAUUGCUCUCCUAGCCUCNAUCACAUGAUCCUCAUGCUCUUUUAAUGAACUAUUCUUCAUAUCUAAUUCUUUUCUCAGUGCUAAACACUGAAGCUGAGCUGAUUGAGCUGAUGC
rnacentral:misc_RNA from 1 species